UACGUAGGGGGCAAGCGUUGUCCGGAAUCAUUGGGCGUAAAGCGCGCGUAGGCGGCCCGGUAAGUCCGCUCUGAAAGUCCAGGGCUCAACCCUGGAAAGCGGGUGGAUACUGCCGGGCUAGAAUCCGGAAGAGGCGAGUGGAAUUCCUGGUGUAGCGGUGGAAAUGCGCAGAUAUCAGGAGGAACACCAAUAGCGAAGGCAGCUCGCUGGGACGGUAUUGACGCUAAGGCGCGAAAGCGUGGGGAGCAAACAGG
rnacentral:rRNA from 1 species